ncrna:unclassified sequences drum RNA
AAGCGUUGAAGCAUAGUAGCGUACCGGCAAGCCUUGCUAUGCGGAGCUUUCGAGAGGGGUUGUGCAGCGAAACCUCAAGCCGGAGUAGGCGAAAGCCGAAAGAAAAUGCUCAAA